rnacentral:misc_RNA from 1 species
GAAUCGGUAAGAGUUGACUUCCCUGCAAAGAUGAAAUGAACAAAGAGAAUAAGAACAUCUGAAAAAGGGACUGAAUUUGAACAAGAAAAAAAACGUUAAACAGUUAGAGAAAGCUAAAGAAGGCCAUGCAAAUAUAUACCUGGCGUAGGCAGAACAUUAAGCUUUAAAUCCACAUAAUCAAAACUUAAAAUGCAGAAAGUAUACCAUGAUUAUGAUUAUAAAAGCAAAUGGGACUACAAAUCCCUGCACAGAAAAUGGCAGGAAGACCUGAUUUGACAACCUAAGAUUAUUAUGGCUACCUAUAAAAGCACCAAGGACAACAAAAGCAAAUUGUACAAAUCAAUAAAUUUACAUUCCUUUGAUAGAAAGACCAAUUUUCCAAAAAGAAUAUAUACCAUGAUCAACAUGUGCAAUGACA